rnacentral:rRNA from 1 species
GAACCUGCGGAAGGAUCAUUAUUGAAAUAAACCUGAUGGGUUGUUGCUGGCUCUCUAGGGAGCAUGUGCACACCUUGUCAUCUUUAUAUUUCCACCUGUGCACCUUUUGUAGACCCUCCCAGGUCUAUGUUUGCUUCAUUUACCCCCGAUGUAUGUUAAUAGAAUGUUGUGCCUAUAAAAUAUAUACAACUUUCAGCAACGGAUCUCUUGGCUCUCGCAUCGAUGAAGAACGCAGCGAAAUGCGAUAAGUAAUGUGAAUUGCAGAAUUCAGUGAAUCAUCGAAUCUUUGAACGCACCUUGCGCUCCUUGGUAUUCCGAGGAGCAUGCCUGUUUGAGUGUCAUUAAUAUAUAUAUAUCAACCCCCUCUUGUUGAGCGGUUUGGAUGUGGAGGUUUUUGCUGGCCGCCUAGAAAGGGUUCAGCUCCUCUGAAAUACAUUAGCGGAACAAACCUGUCCAUUCAUUGGUGUGAUAACUAUCUACGCUAUUGAAUGUGAGGCAGUUCAGCUUUCUAACGGUCCUUUGGACAACCUAUCAUUUUUAUGUGACCUCAAAUCAGGUAGGACUACCCGCUGAACUUAAGCAUAUCAAUAAGCGGAGGAAAAGAAACUAACAAGGAUUCCCCUAGUAACUGCGAGUGAAGCGGGAAAAGCUCAAAUUUAAAAUCUGGCGGUCUUUUGGCUGUCCGAGUUGUA